rnacentral:rRNA from 1 species
CCUACGGGAGGCAGCAGUAGGGAAUCUUCCACAAUGGACGAAAGUCUGAUGGAGCAACGCCGCGUGAGUGAUGAAGGUUUUCGGAUCGUAAAACUCUGUUGUAAGGGAAGAACAAGUACGUUAGGAAAUGAACGUACCUUGACGGUACCUUAUUAGAAAGUCCACGGCUAACUACGUGCCAGCAGCCGCGGUAUACGUAGUGGCAAGCGUUGUCCGGAUUUAUUGGGCGUAAAGCGCGCGCAGGCGGUUUUCUUAAGUCUGAUGUGAAAGCCCACGGCUUAACCGUGGAGGGUCAUUGGAAACUGGGAGACUUGAGUGCAGAAGAGGAAAGUGGAAUUCCAAGUGUAGCGGUGAAAUGCGUAGAGAUUUGGAGGAACACCAGUGGCGAGGCGACUUUUCUGGUCUGCAACUGACGCUGAGGCGCGAAAGCAUGGGGAGCAAACAGGAUUAGAUACCCUGGUAGUCCAUGCCGUAAACGAUGAGUGCUAAGUGUUAGGGGGUUUCCGCCCCUUAGUGCUGCAGCUAACGCAUUAAGCACUCCGCGUGGGGGAGUACGACCGCAAGGUUGAAACUCAAAGGAAUUGACGGGGGCCCGCACAAGCGGUGGAGCAUGUGUUUAUUUCGAAGCAACGCGAAGAACCUUAC